CCUACGGGAGGCUGCAGUGAGGAAUAUUGGUCAAUGGCCGGAAGGCUGAACCAGCCAUGCCGCGUGAAGGUCAGUGCCCUUUGGGCGUUAAACUUCUUUUGUGCGGGAGCAAUAAUGGUCACGUGUGGCCAGACGACAGUACCGUACGAAUAAGCAUCGGCUCACUCCGUGCCAACAGCCGCGGUAAUACGGGGGGUGCAGGCGUUAUCCGGAUUUAUUGGGUUUAAAGGGUGCGUAGGCUGGGAGGUAAGUCAGCGGGUGAAUGCCGCCGGUCAACGGGGUGAAGUGCCAUUGAUACUGCCUUGCUGGAAUGCGGAUGCGGUGGGAGGAAUGUGGGGUGUAGCGGUGAAAUGCGUAGAUAUCACACAGAACACCGAUUGCGAAGGCAUCUCACGAAUCCGCGAUUGACGCUGAUGCACGAAAGCGUGGGUAGCAAACAGGAUUAGAUACCCUGGUAGUC
rnacentral:rRNA from 1 species